rnacentral:lncRNA from 1 species
GAACCACAGAGCGGGCGCUGCGAGCGGCAGACACACAGCGGCUCCGGCACCUCUCCUCGACUCAGGUCACCGCCCGCGUCCAGCCUGCACUCGAGCUGCUCGCCGCAGCGCCCGUAGAAGUUAGCGCUGGGGUCCAGAUCGCAGAGCUGGCCCUCCAGGUUUGCGCAUUCCCAGCAGCAGCCGCACGCAUCCCGCACCCGGCCUGCUAGGCAUCCCCGCGGCGCAGCGCACUCUUCUGGCCGGCAGGGAGCACAACCCUCGCCCUCGGCUAGCAGCCGCAGCCAGCCUCGCCGCAGGUAAUCGGGGCCUGUGGACGGCCUCGCGCUAACGGGUAGCUGGGUCCACACCACCAGCAAUAAUGGUAGUAGCAAGGACAGCGCCAAGGUAGGUGCAGCAUAGUUAGCUGGAAGCCCUGUGAACACUCGGGGCAUCGGCGCGUAGGUGGCACCCUGCCAGGAGAGGGAAGCCAGGUCUGGAGGUCAGAGAUAAAGUCAAGGCUGUAUAAAAGCUUGAUUCUAUCCUCUGCUACCCUGUAGCCAACUAGAAGCCCUAACAAAGAAGCCUGGUGAUUCCCAGGGGUUUAUGCCAGUUGGUAAUUGAUUAAGCUGGUCUUGGGGACUAGGGAAUAAAGAGAGAGUGUAUCGGGGAAUGAUCACUAACACCCAUGCAGGGAUGCACACACCCAUACACAGACAUACGCGUAUACACACACACACAUGCAUACAUAUAUGCACGCGCGCGCGCACACACACACCAGCAUCACCUCCAGAAACCACCCAACUCUGAUGCAUCUUUGCCCCAGAGAUAGAUAAAACUACACUUGAUGUAAAAACUUCAGGUUGGGGUGAUGGUGCUGGGGACAUACCAGCGACUCACCUAGUGCCUUGGACUAGGCCCUUAACAGCUGGGAUUUCCAACC